AGAGCGAACGCUGGCGGCAGGCUUAACACAUGCAAGUCGAGCGGGCGUAGCAAUACGUCAGCGGCAGACGGGUGAGUAACGCGUGGGAACGUACCUUUUGGUUCGGAACAACACAGGGAAACUUGUGCUAAUACCGGAUAAGCCCUUACGGGGAAAGAUUUAUCGCCAAAAGAUCGGCCCGCGUCUGAUUAGCUAGUUGGUGAGGUAACGGCUCACCAAGGCGACGAUCAGUAGCUGGUCUGAGAGGAUGAUCAGCCACAUUGGGACUGAGACACGGCCCAAACUCCUACGGGAGGCAGCAGUGGGGAAUAUUGGACAAUGGGCGCAAGCCUGAUCCAGCCAUGCCGCGUGAGUGAUGAAGGCCCUAGGGUUGUAAAGCUCUUUGUGCGGGAAGAUAAUGACGGUACCGCAAGAAUAAGCCCCGGCUAACUUCGUGCCAGCAGCCGC
rnacentral:rRNA from 1 species